rnacentral:rRNA from 1 species
GUAGGGAAUAUUGGGCAAUGGUCGGAAGACUGACCCAGCCAUGCCGCGUGCAGGAAGACGGCCCUCUGGGUUGUAAACUGCUUUUAUCUGGGAAGAAAAAGGCCAUGCGUGGCAAAUUGCCGGUACCAGAUGAAUAAGCACCGGCUAACUCCGUGCCAGCAGCCGCGGUAAUACGGAGGGUGCGAGCGUUGUCCGGAUUUAUUGGGUUUAAAGGGUGCGUAGGCGGCUGAUUAAGUCAGCGGUGAAAGACUUCGGCUUAACCGGAGCAGUGCCGUUGAUACUGGUUGGCUUGAGUGUCGGAGGGGUACAUGGAAUUGAUGGUGUAGCGGUGAAAUGCAUAGAUACCAUCAGGAACACCGAUAGCGAAGGCAUUGUACUGGCCGACAACUGACGCUGAUGCACGAAAGUGUGGGGAUCGAACAGGAUUAGAAACCCGGUAGUCC